UGAUGACUAACUUCUCUGCUUGGUGGGCC
rnacentral:piRNA from 1 species